GAUGAAGAACGCAGCGAAAUGCGAUACUUGGCGUGAAUUGCAGAAUCCCGUGAACCAUCGAGUCUUUGAACGCAAGUUGCGCCCGAAGCCACUAGGCCGAGGGCACGCCUGCCUGGGCGUCACACGUCGUUGCCCCCCACCAUCUACUCCUUCGGGAUUGUGGGGGGCGGAUGAUGGCCUCCCGUGCGCCUAGCCGCGCGGUUGGCAUAAAUACCAAGUCCUCGGCGACGCACGCCACGACAAUCGGUGGUUGCGAAACCUCGGUUGCCCGUCGUGUGCGUUCGUCGCGCAUCGAGGGCUCGAAACAAUGCUCGGCUCCGGCUCGGCUUUCAACGCGACCCCAGGUCAGGCGGGGUUACCCGCUGAAUUUAAGCAUAUCAAUAAGCGGAGGA
rnacentral:misc_RNA from 1 species